AAUGCCAAGCUACCUGGGCUGCACAAUUAAUCGCAAUUGUAUUGAAAUUGCAAUAUGGACAAGUCCAAUAUCCAAAUUGCACGGGGGCGCAUUAUUUUUUAGUGGCAAAAUAUGUCAAACCCUUCUGAGUAUUAAGUAUUGUGGUGCUGC